rnacentral:tRNA from 1 species
GCGAAAUCGGUAGACGCAGUUGAUUCAAAAUCAACCGUAGAAAUACGUGCCGGUUCGAGUCCGGCCUUCGGCA